UACGUAGGGUGCGAGCGUUGUCCGGAAUUAUUGGGCGUAAAGGGCUCGUAGGCGGUCUGUCACGUCGGGAGUGAAAACUCAGGGCUUAACCCUGAGCCUGCUUCCGAUACGGGCAGACUAGAGGUAUGCAGGGGAGAACGGAAUUCCUGGUGUAGCGGUGAAAUGCGCAGAUAUCAGGAGGAACACCGGUGGCGAAGGCGGGUCUCUGGGCAACAUCAUCGUCGCUGAGGAGCGAAAGCGGGUGGGAGAACAGG
rnacentral:rRNA from 1 species